GAUGAACGCUGGCGGCGUGCCUAAUACAUGCAAGUCGAGCGAACAGAUAAGGAGCUCGCUCCUUUGACGUUAGCGGCGGACGGGUGAGUAACACGUGGGUAACCUACCUAUAAGACUGGAAUAACUCCGGGAAACCGGGGCUAAUGCAGGAUAACAUGUUGAACCGCAUGGUUCUACAGUGAAAGGCGGCUUUGCUGUCACUUAUAGAUGGACCCGCGCCGUAUUAGCUAGUUGGUGAGGUAACGGCUCACCAAGGCAACGAUACGUAGCCGACCUGAGAGGGUGAUCGGCCACACUGGAACGGCGACACGGUCCAGACUCCUACGGGAGGCAGCAGUAGGGAAUCUUCCGCAAUGGGCGAAAGCCUGACGGAGCAACGCCGCGUGAGUGAUGAAGGUCUUCGGAUCGUAAAACUCUGUUAUUAGGGAAGAACAAAUGCGUAAGUAACUGUGCGCGUCUUGACGGUACCUAAUCAGAAAGCCACGGCUAACUACGUG
rnacentral:rRNA from 1 species